AAAAAUAUCAAUCAUCAUAAGGAUGCUUUGUUCCUUGAUAAUUACACAUUGCUACAAGCCAAGAGGCAUCAGAAUAAAAAGGGUCAGGGCAAAAAUAAAGGAUCAUUAGAGCCCGCAAUUGCUGGUAUGGAAAUUACAUCCAAUCUCAUCAACUUAUUCAGCCAAAUUUAACCCUGAUACAGGAGGUUUAUUUUUGAGUUUUAACCUGUUCCCAUCCCUCGCA
rnacentral:misc_RNA from 1 species